CUACUUAGUUGAUUGCUUACUGUUGUAGUUAGCUAGCUACUUAGUUAAUUGGGUUAAGUAACUUAUUUAGCUAUAUAUUUAUUGAAUUACUUACUGUUUUAGUUAGCUAGCUACAUAGUUAGUUAGGUAGUUAGCUAUCUAUUUAUUUAAUUACUUACUGUAUUAGUUAGCUAGCUAUUUUGUUAGUUAGGUAGUUAGCUAUCUAUUUAGUAACUUACUGUAUUAGUUUGCUAGCUAUUUUGUUAGUUAGUUAGGUAGGUUAGGUAGUUAUAUAUGUACUUAAAUAAUUACUUACUUUAUUAGUUAGCUAGUUAGUUACAUACUUAGUUAGCUAUGUUAAUUAGCUGCCUACUUUGUUAAUUAGAUUAUUAAGGUUAGUUAGUUAGCUAUAUACUUUUAGUAUUAUCUAAUUUAUUAGUUAGCUAGAUAUUUUGUUAGUUAGGUUACUUAGUUAGCUAUCUGCUUAUUUAGUUAGCUACAUCCAAUAACAUACCUACUUUCUUAGUUUACUACUUACCUUGUUAGUUAUUUAGUUAGUCAGCUAGCAUGCUUUACAAUUUUAUUUGGACAACUUAGAUCUAUUGCCCUAUUUUGAAAAGGCUUUAAUGCUGUCUGACUUGCUAAUGUUAGUUUGUCACUUUAGAUUACAUUUUCAAAGAAAAAGUUAAUUAUUGAAGGUUAGAAUGAAAAAUUAAGGGCCAUCGUGCGCGUUGUUGAUCCAGGGCCAUCGUGCGCGUUGUUGAUCCAGGGUCAUCGUGCGCGUUGUUGAUCCAGGGCCAUCGUGCGCCUUGUUGAUCCAGGGCCAUCGUGCGCGUUGUUGAUCCAGUUAAUUGAUGCCUUGAUUUAUAUAAAAAAAAAAAAACUCUAGCAUGUGUGUGUUUGUUUUUACUAGUACUUUUUUAAAAGCUGGAAAAUUUAAUUCAAAUUUAAAUAUAAACAAAAUAAAAUUGUAUCUGGGCCUCCCUGGAAUAAUGCAUAGAUUGGUCACAGGCUGUCCUGUAAUAUCUAGGACCAAGAAGUUUGUAGAAGUUCUGUAAGUUUAUGAGGCUGACCUCACCAUCCUUAAUUUCGGUAACUUUGGGCAUCCAUGAUCCUGUUUUUAGGUCUAUGGUUGUCUUUCCAGGGAGCUCGUUUGUUAGGUUCUGACCACUGCAAAUUAGGAAAAUGCAACAAGACCUGCCUUGUGAUUUGGAGAUGUUUUGACCCAGCAGGCGGCUGUUUUAAUAUCUCAAUUCCAUUUGUCCUGCUUUUAACUCCUCAGCCUUAAGUUAACUAUUCACUCACUCCCUAUGUAAAUAUAUUUACCCAUUUGGCAUUAUGACCAGAUAAUAAAUGUUUGUUUAUUAAUAUCCUGAAGUUUUUCCACUGGUGAGCCAAAUAACCACAAAAAUCUUAUCAGGAUCAAGAUGCCAAAGCACAUACUUUUUACAGAUAUAUAAACACAGCAAAUAUUGCUUUUAAAUACAUAUGGGAGGAUAAUUGGAGCUUGUCUGGAAAAUGGGAACCACUGGAUACUUUUUGUGAGUUACAUUUAUAGAUACUUUAUUGACCCUGAAGGAAAUGCAUAUCCUAGCUUGUAGAACAAAAAGAUAAAUACACUCCAACAUAGUAUAGUAACUCUGUCACAGAUAGAACUGUAAUCUACCUCUCUGCUUAGAGCUUCUUAAAAGCUUGAUUUUAAGGUUUGUGUGGAUGUGAUUUUGAUUAUUUUUUAUUCCAAACCACAACCCAAUUAUAAUUGUAUAGACUUUUGCCAGAAGCAGACAUAUAUCCAAUAAAAUGUAAUGGAAUCAUUGUUGUCUGGAAGAAAUGUACAGCAGAGGCAUUUCUUUGUCUUAAAGGUAAAACAAUGUAAAGGCAAAAUGUACAACACGGUCCUUCAAGUCCAAUAUAUUAAGGUAUAUUACCUGUACCACAAAUGUUUAUACUACUUCCACUUUCUUUGAGAAAAGGAGCAUAUUCAUCCAUCUUAUUAUUUUAUUCUGUAUUCAGUGCACUAUUUACUCUAGUAUAAAGUCUAUAUGAACUGUGGUUUAAACAGCAGAUUAAAUGUAGGAAAUGUUUUAAAACAAAAGCUUCCUUCCACAUUGAAUAUUAAAACAUUAUCUAUCUUUCUUUUUAGUUUUAUGACAUUACACAGAGAAGAAUCAUUUACAUGAAUUCUAUGGGAGAGGAUAGAAAGACAGUUUUGAAAAACUGGAGGUGACGAAUACAAUUAUAUGCAUUAUAUUGCCAAAAGUAUCCAUUAUCCUGCAUUGCAUUUGGUGAUUAGGCUUGAAUGGAGCUGCUUGGUCAGGGAAACGCAUUCCAUGAAUUUCUCUGCUCUCUACUGUUCUUAAUCUAAUCUGAAUAAAGCUUUGCUUUCUUCACCUGUGGUCUGUGUGAAGUGAUAUAAUGAUUCUAGUUUCUUAUAUCUGUUUAGUUAACAGUGUAAUUGUUUAGCUUAUUUGCAUCAGCCAGAGGUUGCAAAGACAACUGGACAAUCUUCAGUGUCAAACAUCCACAACAGCAAGAUGGACACUCGUAUGGAGUACACGUGGUACAAUCAAUAAUUCUACUUUAUUCAUUUGUAUUUGAUGUAUUUCCUGUGUUCUAACAAUUGCAACUUUAACAGAAUUUUGUUUUCUUGCCUGAGAGCCUUCACGUUUUAAAUUUUUUUCUUUAGUCGUACGUUAACAUGACUGUUCUAUGUUUCUCUAAUACAUUGGUGCUGAUUUCUUCACAACGGAAUAAAAUAUUAAAAAUUGUUUGGGGGAAACCACACAACCAAAAGUAAAUACAGAAAAAUCUGUCCAACAAUAUUAAAGACACUGUAUCUGCAAUUACUCACUUUAUUAAGAAUUUCUCAUUAAUCAUGCUUGUUUUUUAUUGAUACAGUUUGCAGAAAACAUUCUUGAAGGAAAAAGCUGUGUAGAACAAUAUGGAGUUUUAGGUAUGUGUGUGAGAGUGAGUGUGAUACAGAUUAAAAUCUAGACAUAUUCUAUAUUUUUGUACAGAUCGCACUCAGAAGAGCUCCAGUUCCUGGGACCCAUUGACUGCAAAAGAUAAGGUGCAGUGCCAGAAGUGUAAGGCUUGCUACUACACAGAUGUUCGAAUACGGCAUGUGGCAUCUGUGCUGUAUGUGAAAGUAGGUAAUAUGUAGUGAGUACAUUACCUGUCAAAGGUAGCUUAACAAGUACAUUGGUAGGCCAUUUAGCUACAGAGUAUUUUUGUGAUAAUGAUAUUCUUGGUGACAAUAACCAAAAUGUUUAAUUUAAUUUAAAUAAUAACUUCUUAAAAAAAAAUGUUUUUUUUAUAGUAUAAGACACAGACACAGUUCUGGAAAAAAAAAUCAAGAUUGAUCACAAGCAAUCAAACCAAACUGAACUGCUUGAAUUUUUGCACCAGGAGUGGCCUAAAGUUAUCCAAAAGCAGUGUGUAAGACCGGUGGAGGAGAGCAUGAUGCCAAGAUGCAUGAAAACUGAUUAAAAACCAGGGUUAUUCCACCAAAUAGAUUUUUUUUAGGUCUAUAAGCUCUGCAUCUUUUUAUUUCAGCCAUUUCUUUUCUGCAGAUAAAUGCUCUAAAUGACUUUUUUUUUGUAAUUUGGGAGAAAUAUUGCCGUAGUUUCUAGAAUAAAACAUAUCUAUAAAAAGCAAAAUCAGAGAAACGGAUUCAGAAACUGAAGUGGUGUAUUAAUCAUUUCCAGAGCUCGCUCUGUGUGUGUGUCUCUUUCUCUCUACAUAAUUUGGAAUAUUAGACCAUGUUAGCCCUUAUAAAUCAGACCAUCCCUGUAUUAAUGGGUAAGAGUGAGAUGUUAGCCUAGUGCUUUGUUUUUUUAGUUGCAGUAUUAUUUUACCAAUGUCUAACUUUUUUCCCCAUGGUCAUUUAAAUGUGUGUAAUAAAAAAAAGGUGUCUUAUUCCAGUUUGUUCUUUUAAUAAAACGUUGCUUAAAGAA